UACGUAGGUGGCGAGCGUUAUCCGGAAUCAUUGGGCGUAAAGAGGGAGCAGGCGGCCGCAAGGGUCUGUGGUGAAAGACCGAAGCUAAACUUCGGUAAGCCAUGGAAACCGGGCGGCUAGAGUGCGGAAGAGGAUCGUGGAAUUCCAUGUGUAGCGGUGAAAUGCCUAGAUAUAUGGAGGAACACCAGUGGCGAAGGCGACGGUCUGGGCCGCAACUGACGCUCAUUCCCGAAAGCGUGGGGAGCAAAUAGG
rnacentral:rRNA from 1 species